AGCAUUGCAGGGGCAAGAUGACCAAGAAGGAGGAUUAAAAAUUCCGGCGGCAUUGGGCUUCCGGCAGCUGUUGUUGAGGACUUGCUUGAUAUCCAACAAAAUCUGUAGCUGCCUGUUAAGAAGCUCUCCUUUCUCAACCAACUCACUUUCUGUAGCCUUGUAAAAUUUGUUCACUUUGUUCAGUUCUUCAUCUAGUCUCUCAAAAAACACCCUCAUCUCAUCUUCCUCUAAGAACAACUGAAGAA
rnacentral:misc_RNA from 1 species